rnacentral:rRNA from 1 species
AAGUGCGAGUGGCGAACGGGUGAGUAACACGUGGGCAAUCUGCCCAAAAGUGGGGGAUAACACUUGGAAACAGGUGCUAAUACCGCAUCAACCGGCUGACCGCAUGGUCGGCCGGGCAAAGACGGCGUCAGCUGUCGCUUUUGGAUGAGCCCGCGGCGUAUUAACUAGUUGGUAAGGUAACGGCUUACCAAGGUGAUGAUACGUAGCCGAACUGAGAGGUUGAUCGGCCACAUUGGGACUGAGACACGGCCCAAACUCCUACGGGAGGCAGCAGUAGGGAAUCUUCCACAAUGGACGCAAGUCUGAUGGAGCAACGCCGCGUGUAUGAAGAAGGUCUUCGGAUCGUAAAAUACUGUUGUCAGAGAAGAACACGUGAUAGAGUAACUGCUAUGGCGCUGACGGUAUCUGACCAGCAAGUCACGGCUAACUACGUGCCAGCAGCCGCGGUAAUACGUAGGUGGCAAGCGUUGUCCGGAUUUAUUGGGCGUAAAGGGAACGCAGGCGGUCUUUUAAGUCUGAUGUGAAAGCCUUCGGCUUAACCGGAGAAGUGCAUUGGAAACUGGAAGACUUGAGUGCAGAAGAGGAGAGUGGAACUCCAUGUGUAGCGGUGAAAUGCGUAGAUAUAUGGAAGAACACCAGUGGCGAAAGCGGCUCUCUGGUCUGUAACUGACGCUGAG